UCCGACCAGGUGGUGCAGACAGCGGCGGCGGGGUGCCGCUCCUUAGCCGGCGCGGCGCAGAGCCCCGGAGGACGGAGGCGGUGCUCCAGCAGGGGUGCCUGCGUCUGCCUCCUCUCCGCUCCAGCUUCCGCGUCCGCCCUCCCCCACCGAGGAGCGACGGCGGCGGGGGCGGGGAGCCCACGGCCACCUCAUGGGUAAGUCCCAACUGGCUCACGUCGCUCUCGCGCCGCCUCGGCCAGGGAGGCGACGACUCGAGGAUCCCCGUGGCGACCGCCAAGCUCGACGACGUGCGGGACCUCCUCGGCGGCGCGCUCUUCCUUCCGCUCUUCAAGUGGUUCCGUGAGGACGGGCCCGUGUACCGCCUCGCUGCGGGGCCGCGGGACUUCGUCGUUGUCAGCGACCCCGCAGUCGCCAAGCAAGUGCUGUGUGGGUACGGGUCGCGCUAUGAGAAGGGGCUCGUCGCCAAGGUCGCCGAGGUCUCCGAGUUUCUCUUCGGGUCCGGGUUCGCCACUGCAGAGGGCGCGCUGUAGACGGUAGGCUCUCUAAUGUGUGAUGUUUUUUAGUGGGAUGGAAUGGUCGAUCGGAAUUCAGAGUUCUGCAAUGGGUUGAAACAAGAGAUAAUUGACUAUUUGCCAUCAUAGAAGGUGGGCUCGAUUAUUUGCUACCGUAAACUUUGGCUUUGACGAUUUACCACCAAAAACAUUGGCCACCUUGAUUUCUUGCAAUUUUAGCCAUCUCUACACAAGCGAUUUCUGUCAGUGAUGGUUGAAAAAGUAUUUUGUAAAUGUGCCGACAGAUUAGUGGAGAAACUUAAGGCACAUGCUUCGAGGGGUGAAACUAUCAAUAUGGAGGAGAGGUUUUCUCAGAUGACAUUGGAUGUGAUUGGUUUGUCAUAGUUCAACUACAAUUUUGAUUCCCUAACAACAGAUAGUCCUGUCAUUGAUGCUGUUUAUACUGCACUUAAAAAAGCAGAGCUUCACUCUACAGAUCUUCUGCCAUACUCGAAGAUUGAUUUUCUGUGCAAGAUAAUUCCUCGACAGAUAAAAGCAGAAAGUGCAGUUAACAUCAUUAGGAACACUGUUGAAGAACUGAUUAUGAAGUGUAAGGAAAAUUGUAGACUCCCCAUAUAUGAAGAUGUAAAAGAGCUGAAGUACUUGAUGAGCUGUAUAAACGGGUCUAUGUGGCUAUAUCCACACCCUCCUGUACAUCCCUUGUGCUUGAGACAAGCAAAUUUAGAAUUCGCUUUGGUGACUCAAGGACUCCUUGUUGACAGGUGCUGUUAAGGCGUGCAAUAAUCAAUGACGUGCUUCCUGGAAACUAUAAGAUUAAAUCUGGUCAAGAUAUGAUUUCAGUGUACAAUAUACACAGAUCCCCUGAGAUACUUCACUGUCUGAAUAUUAGAUCAUACACCUCGUUGACUUGGUAUGGGAUAGAGCAGUUGAAUUUGUUCCAGAGAGAUUUGAUUUAGAGGGAUCCAUUCCAAAUGAGUCAAACAUGGAUUUCAGGUAUAUCCCAUUUAGUGGAGCUCCCCAGAAAUGUGUUGGAGAUCAAUUCGCUCUUCUAGAAACAAUAGUGGCACUUGCAAUCGUGCUGCAGAAGAUGGACAUUCAGCUUGUGCCAGAUCAUAAGAUUAGCAUGACCACUGGUGCUACCAUUCAUACAACCAAUGUAAGAUCUAAUUCAUAUGGUUUAGAG